ACACUAAUAGUCUAGUGGUUAGGAUGCUUCUCUUCCAAAGAAGCGGCCGGUGUUCGAAUCACCGUUAGUGUA